UUCUCCCAUCAGGGCUGGGGUCAAGAUCCAACUCUGCAAACAUCCUUCAUACCUUCUUUAGUUUGGGUGGGUAUACACUCAAAUCUGUUCACAAUGCAAUACAGUAGCUAUGUCUAGUUUUGGAGGUGUAGAUGGUACUAUUUCCCUAUGUUUAACUUUUUUCCAUUUCUGUACAGAGUAGGCACCUCAAAAAACUAUUUUCUGCUCUGCCCCUCUUCACUGACUGCAGCGUAUCUCUACAACAGUCAUAACUGAAGUGUGUAAACUGUAAAUGG